CGGACGGGUGAGUAACACGUGGAUAACCUACCUAUAAGACUGGGAUAACUUCGGGAAACCGGAGCUAAUACAGGAUAAUAUAUUGAACCGCAUGGUUCAAUAGUGAAAGACGGUUUUGCUGUCACUUAUAGAUGGAUCCGCGCCGCAUUAGCUAGUUGGUAAGGUAACGGCUUACCAAGGCGACGAUGCGUAGCCGACCUGAGAGGGUGAUCGGCCACACUGGAACUGAGACACGGUCCAG
rnacentral:rRNA from 1 species